AUGGCCUGGGCCCCUCUGCUCCUCACGCUGCUCACUUACUGCUCUGGUUCCCUCUCCCAGUUUACUCUGACUCAGCCGCCCUCAGUGUCAGUGUCCAUUGGCAACACAGUUAAACUCUCCUGCGCCAUUGACAAUAGAUACACACUUGGAGGUGUCCCCUGGUACCAACAGAAAGAUGGGAACAGCCCAAGAUACCUUCUGAGAUACAACAAAGAGUCUGACAAGCACCAGGGCUCUGGGGUCCCCAGUCGCUUUUCUGGUUCCAAAGACGCCUCUAAUACAACCUGCUACUUAACCAUCACCAGCGACCAGGCAGAGGAUGAGGCUGAUUAUUACUGUACUGUAUGGUCUGGGAGUGCUUCACGGUGA